GGCGGGAUGCUGGAGUGGUUUAACAGGCCUGUCUUGAAAACAGGUGUAUCAGAAAUGGUACCGUGGGUUCGAAUCCUACUCCCGCCG
rnacentral:tRNA from 1 species